AAGGAUUUAGGUUAAAUAAACCAGUAACCUUCAAAGUUACCAAUAAAAGUUUAAUCUUUUAAGCCUUA
rnacentral:tRNA from 2 species